UUCACCUUUGGCUUCAGUGGGAAGAGAGUGAAUAACAUGGCCUGCUUCCAGGAUAUCUGCUAAUCUCUUCUUUAAUAUUGAAGAAGGCAGAGACAGAGAUAUUUCCUGCUACAGUAAAAUAUUCAAGAGUUACUUUCCUUCCUGGAUGUUCUGAUUGAAAGGAGGAAAACCAUUACAUGGAGCUUGGGCAGACCUUUCAGAAUAAAGUCACAUAUCAAUAAAUGGUGACGUCUUCCUUCAAUGAAAUAAAACAGACACCUUGGGAAUGAAGGCAGCGUGGGUGUUGCAAUCUACUGCAGAACAUCCAGGGGCCUCGCAGGAGGUUUUUUUUCCGUGGAAUAUGACAAUCAUGUCUGAGCAUCUCCUGAGCAGAGCAGGCAGGGAUAAUGCCUUUGCGGAGCGCGGCUCCCUGGUAAUUCAGCUGCUUGUGGAAAUGCAUUCCUGGGCGUGACUGGCUUUCUUUGUGUGGUGGGACUCGGCUCCUCGCUAUGAUAUAGCAGUCGGAGCACCAGAAUUAUGCAAUUGAUCUGCCUGCUGCAGACAGAUACAAUUACAAUUCCCUCACAGAGCCUGGCACUGAAAUUUGAUAUUUCACCUCCAAGAACAUGAGUCUUUGUCACUUAAGAGAAAGGAUAUUUCCCAUGGCUGGUGGUGGUAGCAAGACCUUGUCUGAGCUAUCACUGCCAAAGUGGUCAUUCCCAGCCCUGGUAAUCAGGAAUGACCAACAGGACCCAACACAGCCCUCCCCAACCCUGGUAACCAGGAAUGACCAACAGGACCCAAUAGAACCCUCCCCAACCCUGGUAACCAGGAAUGACCAACAGGACCCAACACAGCCCUCCCCAACCCUGGUAACCAGGAAUGACCAACAGGACCCAAUAGAACCCUCCCCAACCCUGGUAACCAGGAAUGACCAACAGGACCCAACAGAGCCAUCCCUGACCCUGGUAACCAGCAAUGACCAACAGGAACCAACACAGCCCUCCCCAACCCUGGUAACCAGCAAUGACCAACAGGACCCAACAGAGCCAUCCCUGAUCCUGGCAACCAGGCAUGGCCAACAGGACUCAGCAUAGCCCUCCCCAAGCCCUGGCAACUAGGACACGUCGGGUUGAACUUGGCUGAGAUCCGCGGUAACCGCAAAAAUCUGUUAUCCCGGGAGGGAUCAGGAGCAAGGUGAAAGGAAAGCAGCCCAGAGGUAGGAGAGGGGUGCAUCAGUCACACGGACAUGGCUUUGAAUCACCUGUCUCCUACUAAUCAAAAGGCAAAGUGAAACUUUCCCCGUGGGACCAAAUUCUGUGUGGAAAAGAUAAAAAUAUGCAAAAUCCACUACAGGAAGCGUCUGGAGGUGGGGGGGGGAGAAAAGGUAGAGAUGAUAAAUUUCACAAUGGGGAAGGACGAGAGUGCUGCAGAACUUAAAACAAGGAGCACUGCCAGAUGCUUCCAUUAAUUAAUUAAUUAAUCUCACUGUCGCUCUUCAGCAUGUUGCAGGAAGAAAAUGCUAUUAAUCUUCUCUGUUUUCUGUUACUCGGCUUUGUGCUUGGAGAAGGCCAGGACAGCCUGACAGUGAGACCACACAGUUUUCUUCCCUGCCUCCCUCCUUCCUUCCCCCGCACCCCUCCUCCCUGGCAGAGCAGAUUGAUCCACGGUUAUCUGAUUAGAGAGGAAAGAAGGAGGAAAAACAAAAGCAAGACAAAAAAAUAAAAAGAGGUUUAAUUUUAUUA